rnacentral:rRNA from 1 species
AGUGAACGCUGGCGGUAGGCCUAACACAUGCAAGUCGAACGGCAGCACAGUAAGAGCUUGCUCUUACGGGUGGCGAGUGGCGGACGGGUGAGGAAUACAUCGGAAUCUACUUUUUCGUGGGGGAUAACGUAGGGAAACUUACGCUAAUACCGCAUACGACCUACGGGUGAAAGCAGGGGAUCUUCGGACCUUGCGCGAUUGAAUGAGCCGAUGUCGGCUUAGCUAGUUGGCGGGGUAAAGGCCCACCAAGGCGACGAUCCGUAGCUGGUCUGAGAGGAUGAUCAGCCACACUGGAACUGAGACACGGUGCAGACUCCUACGGGAGGCAGCAGUGGGGAAUAUUGGACAAUGGGCGCAAGCCUGAUCCAGCCAUACCGCGUGAGUGAAGAAGGCCUUCGGGUUGUAAAGCCCUUUUGUUGGGAAAGAAAAGCAGCAGGUUAAUACCCCGCUGUUCUGACGGUACCCAAAGAAUAAGCACCGGCUAACUUCGUG